UACGAAGGGUGCAAGCGUUACUCGGAAUUACUGGGCGUAAAGCGUGCGUAGGCGGUUGGUUAAGUCUGCUGUGAAAGCCCUGGGCUCAACCUGGGAACUGCAGUGGAAACUGGCCAGCUAGAGUGUGUCAGAGGAUGGUGGAAUUCCCGGUGUAGCGGUGAAAUGCGUAGAGAUCGGGAGGAACACCAGUGGCGAAGGCGGCCAUCUGGGACAACACUGACGCUGAGGCACGAAAGCGUGGGGAGCAAACAGG
rnacentral:rRNA from 1 species